UACGACCAUAUCAAGUUGAAGCACCAAUUCCUGUACGACCACCAAAGUUAAGCAACGUCGAACCUGGCCAGUACCUAGAUGUGUGACCACAUGAGAAUCACAAGCGCUGGA